rnacentral:tRNA from 1 species
GGAGAGGUGGCCGAGUGGUUUAAGGCGCACGCCUGGAAAGCGUGUAAACCCUUUAAAGGUUUCGGGGGUUCGAAUCCCCCCCUCUCCG